CUGGUUGAUCCUGCCAGACCCGACUGCUAUCGGAUUGGGACUAAGGCAUGCGAGUCAACUCCGCAAGGGGUGGCGCACGGCUCAGUAACACGUAGUCAACCUACCAUGGGGACGGGGAUAACCUCGGGAAACUGAGGCUAAACCCCGAUGGGCCAUGGCUCCUGGAAUGGGCUAUGGCUGAAAUCUACAUGGCCCCAGGAUGGGACUGCGGCCGAUCAGGUUGUUGGUGGGGUAAUGGCCCACCAAGCCUAUAACCGGUGCGGGCUCUGAGAGGAGGAGCCCGGAGAUAGGCACUGAGACAAGGGCCCAGGUCCUAUGGGGCGCAGCAGGCGCGAAACCUCCGCAAUGGGCGAAAGCCCGACGGGGUCAGUCCGAGUGGUUCCCGCUGAGGGAACCUUUUGCCAGCUGUAAACAGGCUGGCGAAUAAGGGGUGGGCAAGUUUGGUGUCAGCCGCCGCGGUAAUACCAGCACCCCGAGUGGUCGGGACGAUUAUUGGGCCUAAAGCAUCCGUAGCCGGCCCAGUAAGUCCUCCGUUAAAUCCAACGGCUCAACCGUUGGGCUGCGGGGGAUACUGCUGGGCUAGGGGACGGGAGAGGCGAGGGGUAUUCCCGGGGUAGGGGUAAAAUCCACUGAUCCCGGGAGGACCACCAGUGGCGAAGGCGCCUCGCUAGAACGUGCCCGACGGUGAGGGAUGAAAGCUGGGGGAGCGAACCGGAUUAGAUACCCGGGUAGUCCCAGCCGUAAACGAUGUAGGCUCGGUGUUGGGCUGCCUCAGUGGCAGCCCAGUGCCGCAGGGAAGCCGUUAAGCCUACCGCCUGGGGAGUACGGCCGCAAGGCUGAAACUCAAAGGAAUUGGCGGGGGAGCACCAC
rnacentral:rRNA from 1 species